GAUGAACGCUGGCGGCGUGCCUAAUACAUGCAAGUCGAGCGAACAGAUGAGGAGCUUGCUCCUCUGACGUUAGCGGCGGACGGGUGAGUACCACGUGGAUACCCUACCUAUAAGACUGGGAUAACUUCGGGAAACCGGAGCUAAUACCGGAUAAUAUAUUGAACCGCAUGGUUCAAUAGUGAAAGACGGUUUUGCUGUCACUUAUAGAUGGAUCCGCGCCGCAUUAGCUAGUUGGUAAGGUAACGGCUUACCAAGGCAACGAUGCGUAGCCGACCUGAGAGGGUGAUCAGCCACACUGGAACUGAGACACGGUCCAGACUCCUACGGGAGGCAGCAGUAGGGAAUCUUCCGCAAUGGGCGAAAGCUUGACGGAGCAACGCCGCGUGAGUGAUGAAGGUCUUCGGAUCGUAAAACUCUGUUAUUAGGGAAGAACAAAUGUGUAAGUAACUAUGCACGUCUUGACGGUACCUAAUCAGAAAGCCACGGCUAACUACGUG
rnacentral:rRNA from 1 species